CACGUAGGGUGCGAGCGUUGUCCGGAAUUAUUGGGCGUAAAGAGCUCGUAGGCGGUGUGUCGCGUCGGCCGUGAAAACCUGCAGCUUAACUGUGGGCUUGCGGUCGAUACGGGCAUCACUGGAGUUCGGCAGGGGAGACUGGAAUUCCUGGUGUAGCGGUGAAAUGCGCAGAUAUCAGGAGGAACACCGGUGGCGAAGGCGGGUCUCUGGGCCGAUACUGACGCUGAGACACGAAAGCGUGGGGAGCGAACGGG
rnacentral:rRNA from 1 species